UACGAAGGGGGCAAGCGUUGUUCGGAAUUAUUGGGCGUAAAGGGAGCGUAGGCGGUUCGGCAAGUCUCUAGUGACAUCUCUGGGCUCAACCCAGAGUCUGCUGGGGAAACUGCCGGGCUUGAGUAUGGGAGAGGUGAGUGGAAUUGCAGGUGUAGCAGUGAAAUGCGUAGAGAUGUGGAGGAACACCGAUGGCGAAGGCAGCCUCCUGGGCCAGCACUGACGCUCAUGCACGAAAGCGUGGGGAGCAAACAGG
rnacentral:rRNA from 1 species